rnacentral:rRNA from 1 species
UUGGAGGGCAAGUCUGGUGCCAGCAGCCGCGGUAAUUCCAGCUCCAAUAGCGUAUAUUAAAGUUGUUGCAGUUAAAAAGCUCGUAGUUGAAUUUCGGGGUCAGCAGGUUGGUCGUGCCAAUGGUAUGAACUGGCCUUGCUGAUUCCUCCCUCUUGAUGAGCCGUAAUGCCAUUAAUUUGGUGUUGCGGGGAAUCAGGACUGUUACUUUGAAAAAAUUAGAGUGUUUAAAGCAGGCAAGCGCUUGAAUACAUUAGCAUGGAAUAAUGAAAUAGGACGUUUGAUCCUAAUUUGUUGGUUUCUAGGAUUGACGUAAUGAUUAAUAGGGAUAGUUGGGGGCAUUAGUAUUCAAUUGUCAGAGGUGAAAUUCUUGGAUUUAUUGAAGACUAACUACUGCGAAAGCAUUUGCCAAGGAUGUCUUCAUUAAUCAAGAACGAAAGUUAGGGGAUCGAAGACGAUCAGAUACCGUCGUAGUCUUAACCAUAAACUAUGCCGACUAGGGAUCGGAUGAUGUUAAUUUUUUAAUGACUCAUUCGGCGCCUUACGGGAAAC